AUUGAACGCUGGCGGCAGGCUUAACACAUGCAAGUCGAGCGGUAGCACAGGGGAGCUUGCUCCCUGGGUGACGAGCGGCGGACGGGUGAGUAAUGUCUGGGAAACUGCCUGAUGGAGGGGGAUAACUACUGGAAACGGUAGCUAAUACCGCAUAACGUCGCAAGACCAAAGAGGGGGACCUUCGGGCCUCUUGCCAUCAGAUGUGCCCAGAUGGGAUUAGCUAGUAGGUGGGGUAACGGCUCACCUAGGCGACGAUCCCUAGCUGGUCUGAGAGGAUGACCAGCCACACUGGAACUGAGACACGGUCCAGACUCCUACGGGAGGCAGCAGUGGGGAAUAUUGCACAAUGGGCGCAAGCCUGAUGCAGCCAUGCCGCGUGUGUGAAGAAGGCCUUCGGGUUGUAAAGCACUUUCAGCGAGGAGGAAGGUGGUGAGCUUAAUACGUUCAUCAAUUGACGUUACCCGCAGAAGAAGCACCGGCUAACUCCGUG
rnacentral:rRNA from 1 species